GGGUCCUAGCAUCAGGGUGCAGCGCCCUGUGCUUUUCUGCACCCUCUAUGGGCGGGUCCCGGCUCCACUACCGUGGCGGUGGGGGCGCGGCCUCUGGAAGAGGCGGGAACAGGUGGGAUGUCCUGGGUUCUCACCUGGUUCGCAGACCGGGACCCCCGGCAUGGAAGCCAACCGCGUCUUUCCCGCCCCUCCGCGAUGUGCACGGUGAGGAGGCCGGGAAGGUUGCAGCCACGCGGCGGGGGAGAUUCACGUGAGGGCAGAAAGACCAAGUGCUGGGAACCGGAAGUAGUUCUCCGAUUGUCCAUACUGUGCAGUGAAUAGACAAAAAAGAAGUUAUUUCAGGGAAUUCUGGUGAAGAUGGCUGAGUCGAUGGAUACUGUAUUCACCUCCUGCCGUGACCACAUAAAAAUUACAAUUAAAUUAUAGAGCAACCAACCUAGAGAACUAUCUGCAGAC